rnacentral:rRNA from 1 species
GACGAACGCUGGCGGCGUGCUUAACACAUGCAAGUCGAACGGCACGGCCCUGCUUUUGUGGGGUGCUCGAGUGGGGCACGGGUGAGUAACACGUGAGUAUCCUGCUCUUGUCUUUGGGAUAAGUUCAGGAAACUGGGGCUAAUAUAGGAUAGGAUCUGUUGCUGCAUGGUGGGGGUUGGAAAGUUUCGGCGGUUGGGGAUGGACUAGCGGCUUAUCGGUUGGUUGGUGGGGUAGUGGCUUACCAAGUCAUUGAAGGGUCGCCGGCCUGGGAGCUGGGACGGCCACAAUACGCCUAAGAGACGGCCCAGACUCCUACGGUAGGCAGCGGUGGCGAGUAUGGCACAGUGGGCGCGAGCGUGAUGCAGCAACGCCGCGUGCGGAAAGACGGCUUACGGGUUAAAAACCGCUUUCGCCUGUGACGAAGCGUGAGUGACGGUACCGAAUAAAGAAGCACCGGCUAACUACGUG